rnacentral:rRNA from 1 species
UUUUGCCUACGGGAGGCAGCAGUGGGGAAUAUUGCACAAUGGGGGGAACCCUGAUGCAGCGACGCCGCGUGGGUGAAGGAGCACCUCGGUGCGUAAAGCCCUAUCGGCAGGGAAGGAACAGACGGUACCUGACUAAGAAGCCCCGGCUAACUACGUGCCAGCAGCCGCGGUAAUACGUAGGGGGCAAGCGUUAUCCGGAUUCACUGGGGGUAAAGGGAGCGGAGACGGCGACGCAAGGCUGGAGGGAAAGCCCGGGG